CCUACGGGCGGCAGCAGUGGGGAAUAUUGCACAAUGGGCGCAAGCCUGAUGCAGCCAUGCCGCGUGUGUGAAGAAGGCCUUCGGGUUGUAAAGCACUUUCAGCGGGGAGGAAGGCGUUAAGGUUAAUAACCUUGGCGAUUGACGUUACCCGCAGAAGAAGCACCGGCUAACUCCGUGCCAGCAGCCGCGGUAAUACGGAGGGUGCAAGCGUUAAUCGGAAUUACUGGGCGUAAAGCGCACGCAGGCGGUCUGUCAAGUCGGAUGUGAGAUCCCCGGGCUCAACCUGGGAACUGCAUUCGAAACUGGCAGGCUAGAGUCGUGUAGAGGGGGGUAGAAUUCCAGGUGUAGCGGUGAAAUGCGUAGAGAUCUGGAGGAAUACCGGUGGCGAAGGCGGCCCCCUGGACAAAGACUGACGCUCAGGUGCGAAAGCGUGGGGAGCAAACAGGAUUAGAUACCCGAGUAGUC
rnacentral:rRNA from 1 species